CUGUGGGUGAGAGUCCCACCCGGCAAACGCUCCAGCCGGAAGCAACCGGAGCAACUAUGGAGGUAACGAAAUAGUUGAAGCCUUCGGGUAAAGCGUGUCACGAAAUAUGGUGACAGCGCGAGUGUGCAGGCCGGAACGUGA
rnacentral:ncRNA from 4 species